rnacentral:rRNA from 1 species
AGCGAACGCUGGCGGCAGGCUUAACACAUGCAAGUCGAGCGGGCCCUUCGGGGUCAGCGGCGGACGGGUGAGUAACGCGUGGGAACGUGCCUUCUGGUUCGGAAUAACUCAGGGAAACUUGAGCUAAUACCGGAUACGCCCUUUUGGGGAAAGGUUUACUGCCGGAAGAUCGGCCCGCGUCUGAUUAGCUAGUUGGUGGGGUAACGGCCUACCAAGGCGACGAUCAGUAGCUGGUCUGAGAGGAUGAUCAGCCACACUGGGACUGAGACACGGCCCAGACUCCUACGGGAGGCAGCAGUGGGGAAUAUUGGACAAUGGGCGCAAGCCUGAUCCAGCCAUGCCGCGUGAGUGAUGAAGGCCUUAGGGUUGUAAAGCCCUUUUAUCCGGGACGAUAAUGACGGUACCGGAGGAAUAAGCCCCGGCUAACUUCGUG